rnacentral:rRNA from 1 species
UACGGGGGGGGUAAGCGUUGUUCGGAAUUACUGGGCGUAAAGGGCUCGUAGGCGGCCAACUAAGUCGGAUGUGAAAUCCCCAGGCUUAACCUGGGAACUGCAUCCGAUACUGGAUGGCUUGAAUCCGGGAGAGGGAUGCAGAAUUCCAGGUGUAGCGGUGAAAUGCGUAGAUAUCUGGAGGAAUACCGGUGGCGAAGGCGGCAUCCUGGACCGGCAUUGACGCUGAGGAGCGAAAGCUAGGGGAGCAAACGGG